rnacentral:tRNA from 1 species
GAGGGAAUAGCUCAGUGGUAAAGUGCAUGAUUAGUAUGCACAAGGUCCUGGGUUCAAUCCCCAGUACCUCCA